UAGAGUUUGAUCCUGGCUCAGGAUGAACGCUGGCGGCGUGCCUAAUACAUGCAAGUCGAGCGAACAGAUGAGGAGCUUGCUCCUCUGACGUUAGCGGCGGACGGGUGAGUAACACGUGGAUAACCUACCUAUAAGACUGGGAUAACUUCGGGAAACCGGAGCUAAUACCGGAUAAUAUAUUGAACCGCAUGGUUCAAUAGUGAAAGACGGUUUUGCUGUCACUUAUAGAUGGAUCCGCGCCGCAUUAGCUAGUUGGUAAGGUAACGGCUUACCAAGGCAACGAUGCGUAGCCGACCUGAGAGGGUGAUCGGCCACACUGGAACUGAGACACGGCCCAGACUCCUACGGGAGGCAGCAGUAGGGAAUCUUCGGCAAUGGACGGAAGUCUGACCGAGCAACGCCGCGUGAGUGAAGAAGGUUUUCGGAUCGUAAAGCUCUGUUGUAAGAGAAGAACGAGUGUGAGAGUGGAAAGUUCACACUGUGACGGUAACUUACCAGAAAGGGACGGCUAACUACGUGCCAGCAGCCGCGGUAAUACGUAGGUCCCGAGCGUUAUCCGGAUUUAUUGGGCGUAAAGCGAGCGCAGGCGGUUAGAUAAGUCUGAAGUUAAAGGCUGUGGCUUAACCAUAGUACGCUUUGGAAACUGUUUAACUUGAGUGCAGAAGGGGAGAGUGGAAUUCCAUGUGUAGCGGUGAAAUGCGUAGAUAUAUGGAGGAACACCGGUGGCGAAAGCAGCUCUCUGGUCUGUAACUGACGCUGAGGAGCGAAAGCGUGGGGAGCGAACAGGCUUAGAUACCCUGGUAGUCCACGCUGUAAACGGUGGGUACUAGGUGUGGGGUCCAUUCCACGGGUUCCGCGCCGUAGCUAACGCUUUAAGUACCCCGCCUGGGGAGUACGGCCGCAAGGCUAAAACUCAAAGGAAUUGACGGGGCCCCGCACAAGCGGCGGAGCAUGCGGAUUAAUUCGAUGCAACGCGUAGAACCUUACCUGGGUUUGACAUGGAUCGGGAGUGCUCAGAGAUGGGUGUGCCUCUUUUGGGGUCGGUUCACAGGUGGUGCAUGGCUGUCGUCAGCUCGUGUCGUGAGAUGUUGGGUUAAGUCCCGCAACGAGCGCAACCCUUGUUCACUGUUGCCAGCACGUUAUGGUGGGGACUCAGUGGAGACCGCCGGGGUCAACUCGGAGGAAGGUGGGGAUGACGUCAAGUCAUCAUGCCCCUUAUGUCCAGGGCUUCACGCAUGCUACAAUGGCUGGUACAGAGAGUGGCGAGCCUGUGAGGGUGAGCGAAUCUCGGAAAGCCGGUCUCAGUUCGGAUUGGGGUCUGCAACUCGACCUCAUGAAGUCGGAGUCGCUAGUAAUCGCAGAUCAGCAACGCUGCGGUGAAUACGUUCCCGGGGCUUGUACACACCGCCCGUCAAGUCAUGAAAGUUGGUAACACCCGAAGCCGGUGGCCUAACCGUUGUGGGGGAGCCGUCGAAGGUGGGACUGGUGAUUAGGACUAAGUCGUAACAAGGUAACCAA
rnacentral:rRNA from 1 species